GGAAACUGGGUCUAAUACCGGAUAGGAGCCAUUUUUAGUGUGAUGGUUGGAAAGUUUUUUCGGUGUAGGAUGAGCUCGCGGCCUAUCAGCUUGUUGGUGGGGUAAUGGCCUACCAAGGCGGCGACGGGUAGCCGGCCUGAGAGGGUGGACGGCCACAUUGGGGCUGAGAUACGGCCCAG
rnacentral:rRNA from 1 species